GAUGAACGCUGGCGGCGUGCCUAAUACAUGCAAGUCGAGCGAACGGACGAGAAGCUUGCUUCUCUGAUGUUAGCGGCGGGCGGGUGAGUAACACGUGGAUAACCUACCUAUAAGACUGGGAUAACUUCGGGAAACCGGAGCUAAUACCGGAUAAUAUUUUGAACCGCAGGGUUCAAAAGUGAAAGACGGUCUUGCUGUCUCUUAUAGAUGGAUCCGCGCUGCAUUAGCUAGUUGGUAAGGUAACGGCUUACCAAGGCAACGAUGCAUAGCCGACCUGAGAGGGUGAUCGGCCACACUGGAACUGAGACACGGUCCAGACUCCUACGGGAGGCAGCAGUAGGGAAUCUUCCGCAAUGGGCGAAAGCCUGACGGAGCAACGCCGCGUGAGUGAUGAAGGUCUUCGGAUCGUAAAACUCUGUUAUUAGGGAAGAACAUAUGUGUAAGUAACUGUGCACGUCCUGACGGUACCUAAUCAGAAAGCCACGGCUAACUACGUG
rnacentral:rRNA from 1 species